ACGGAGGAUCCGAGCGUUAUCCGGAUUAAUUGGGUUUAAAGGGUGCGUAGGUUGCUAAUCAAGUUAGUGGUCAAAUACAAUGGCUCAACCAUUGUCCGCCAUUAAAACUGUUUAGCUAGAGAUAGGUUGCAGCCGGCGGAAUGUGUAGUGUAGCGGUGAAAUGCAUAGAUAUUACACAGAACACCGAUUGCGAAGGCAGCUGGCUAAGCCUUAUCUGACACUGAUGCACGAAAGCGUGGGUAGCGAACGG
rnacentral:rRNA from 1 species